UUUUUAAUUUUUUUUUUUUUUUUUUUUUUUCCCGU
rnacentral:ribozyme from 14 species